AAAUUGAAGAGUUUGAUCAUGGCUCAGAUUGAACGCUGGCGGCAGGCCUAACACAUGCAAGUCGAGCGGAAACGAGUUAUCAGAACCUUCGGGGAACGAUAACGGCGUCGAGCGGCGGACGGGUGAGUAAUGCCUAGGAAAUUGCCCUGAUGUGGGGGAUAACCAUUGGAAACGAUGGCUAAUACCGCAUGAUGCCUACGGGCCAAAGAGGGGGACCUUCGGGCCUCUCGCGUCAGGAUAUGCCUAGGUGGGAUUAGCUAGUUGGUGAGGUAAGGGCUCACCAAGGCGACGAUCCCUAGCUGGUCUGAGAGGAUGAUCAGCCACACUGGAACUGAGACACGGUCCAGACUCCUACGGGAGGCAGCAGUGGGGAAUAUUGCACAAUGGGCGCAAGCCUGAUGCAGCCAUGCCGCGUGUGUGAAGAAGGCCUUCGGGUUGUAAAGCACUUUCAGUCGUGAGGAAGGCGGUGUAGUUAAUAGCUGCAUC
rnacentral:rRNA from 1 species